ensembl:lncRNA
CAGUAAGAGACUUUUGGACUGCAAUACAAGAGGUGGUGGAUUGUGCAUUUAUGUUAACAAAGCUUGAUGUACGAACACUGUCAUUGUUGGGAGACACUGCUCAGCUAACCUAGAGUUUCUCAUGGUUAAAUGUAGACCUUUUUAUCUGCCGCAUGAGUUCACUUCCACCAUAAUAACUGCAGUCUAUAUUCCACCGGAUGCUAAUGCCAAGCUUGCUUUGAACGAACUUCAUGCAGCCAUUAGUAAACAACAGACUGCUCACCCGGAGGCUGCUUUUAUUGUCGCGGGUGAUUUUAAUCACUGCAAAUUAAAGACAGUGCUCCCCAAAUUCCAUCAGCAUGUUUCCUGCCACACCAGAGGA